GCCGGGUGUGGUGGCGCGCGCCUGUAAUCCAAGUGACCGGGAGGCUGAGGCUGGCGGAGCGUUUGAGCUCAGGAGCUCUGAGCCGAUCGGGUGUCCGCACUAAGUUCGGUAUCGAUAUGAUGAUCCUGGGGGAGCCCGGGACCAGCAGGUCGUCUAAAGAGGGGUGCAACGGUCCAGGUCGGAGACGGAGCAGGUCAAAGCCCCCGUGCCGCUCAGUAGUCGGAUCGCGCCUGUGAAUAGACGCUGCUGUGCAGCCUGAGUAAUACAGCGGGACCCAGUCUCUU
ensembl:misc_RNA Metazoa_SRP Metazoan signal recognition particle RNA